GAAGCAGCGUGGCGCCGGUGCGGAUUGGGCACCCUUGGGCCAGCGCCCUUCUGGCGGUUGGCUACGGGGAAGCCGGCAGUGGAAGAGGCGGAAGCGGACGGGAAUGGCCUCCGAGCCGGCGGGACAGUGGUGUUGCAGAGUUAAUUAUAAGGUACACUGCACUACUUCUUCCAGAAACAGAAGCCAAAUUAAAGACUCAUGGAACUUCAGGAGCACAUAGGGAAGCAUUCAUAGUGAUAGUUGUUCAGUUAAAUAAAGUCUCCCAAGGAUAACAACAUUCUCCAACCUCCAAAGAUGGCAGCUGUUGAAGUGCUGGAGGAGGUACUGGUUUCCGUUGAAAAUGAGCUGCAAGCAGUGGAGAUGCAAAUUCAGGAGCUUGUAGAUAAACAGCAGGAACUCAUCGAAAAGAAGAUGAGAAUAAAGAGCUUGAUAAAGCAGGCCUCAGGAGACUUGGAGGCAGGUGGAAGUAAAGACACUGAAACCUCAGCUGAGGCAUGGAACAAAAAAGAUUUUCCAUGGUAUGAGAAGCUAAACACAGCAUUGCAGGGCGUAUUUAAACUCCAGAAGUUUAGGUCCUUGCAACUUGAAACAGUAAAUGCUUCAAUGGCAGGAAAGGAUAUAUUUCUUGUCAUGCCUACAGGUGGUGGAAAGAGCCUUUGUUACCAGUUGCCAGCUGUCUGUUCUGAAGGUUUCACUCUUGUGAUAUGUCCUUUGAUAUCUCUUAUGGAAGAUCAGCUCAUGGUUUUGGAACAGCUUGGUAUUUCUGCAACUUUAUUAAAUGCCUCAAGCAGUAAGGAACAUGUGAAGUGGGUUCAUACCGAAAUGCUAAACAGAAAAUCCCAACUGAAGCUCAUUUAUGUGACCCCGGAGAAGAUUGCAAAAAGCAAAAUGUUUAUGUCAAAGCUAGAGAAGGCUUAUCAAGCAGGGCGUCUUGCCCGCAUUGCUGUAGAUGAGGUCCACUGCUGUAGUCAAUGGGGCCAUGACUUCAGACCUGACUACAAGUCUCUUGGUAUCUUGAAAAGACAGUUUCCCAAUACUCCCUUGAUUGGAUUGACAGCAACUGCUACAAAUCAUGUUUUAAAAGAUGCUCAGAAAAUUUUGCAUGUUCAAAAGUGCAUUACCUUUACUGCUUCUUUCAACCGGCCCAAUCUUUACUAUGAGGUUCGGCAUAAGCCUUCAAAUAAUGAAGAUUUUAUUGAGGACAUAGUUAAGAUGAUUAAUGGAAGAUACAAAGGACUCUCAGGAAUUGUUUACUGUUUUUCUCAGAAGGAUUCUGAGCAAGUUACCAUGAGUUUGCAGAAACUGGGAAUCAAGGCAGGGACUUAUCAUGCAAACAUGGAUGCUAAAUGUAAGAGCAAAGUUCAUAAAGGAUGGGCAGCAAAUCAGAUCCAGGUUGUAGUGGCAACUGUUGCUUUUGGCAUGGGAAUUGAUAAACCUGAUGUGAGGUUUGUAAUUCAUCAUUCUAUGAGCAAAUCCAUGGAGAACUACUACCAAGAAAGUGGACGUGCAGGUAGAGAUGACCAAAAAGCUGACUGCAUUUUGUAUUAUGGUUUUGGAGAUAUAUUCAGAAUCAGCUCAAUGGUAGUUAUGGAAAAUGUAGGGCAAGAGAAACUGUAUAAUAUGGUGUCCUACUGCCAGAAUCUGAAGAAGUGUCGCCGAGUCCUCAUAGCGCAUCAUUUUGAUGAAGUAUGGGAUUCUGCAAACUGCAACAAAAUGUGUGAUAACUGCUGUAGGGAGAGCCCAUGUGAGAAAAUGGAUAUAACAGGAUACUGCAGGGAUCUAAUCAAGAUACUUGAGCAAGCUGAACACAUGAGUGAGAAGCUAACCCCACUGAAAUUAAUCGAUGCGUGGUCUGGGAAAGGUGUAGCAAAACUGAGGGUGCCUGAAGUUACUCCACCCAAGCACCCUCGAGAGGAGCUGGAGAGAAUUAUUGCCCAUUUACUGCUGCAGCAGUAUCUGAAGGAAGACUUCAGCUUCACAGCAUUUGCGACAAUAUCCUACCUGAAGAUAGGACCAAAGGCAGGUCUGCUGAAAAAUGAGGCACAUGUCAUAACUAUAGACGGGAUAACAAACAAGAAAAGUGUUUACAGGGCCAAACCAACUCAGUCUUCGAAUUCCAAAGGAAGCAGAGAAAAUGCUCAGACUGUUUCAAAGACUGUCCAAGAUUCAGUGGUGAAGAAGUCACAGGAACAUAAACGGCCUAACUGUGGUUCUAACUUAAAAGCAAAGAAGCUUAAGCUUCAGGCAGGUGGAGAUGAUCAACCAGUAGUUAUUGACUGAGUUUCACAGGCUACAUUUAGGAUUUAAUCCUCUUCACUUCUCCAUGGACAAUGCAGUGUCAAACAGGAUCAAACAUGCUCCAAUGCUCCAAUCUUCAACAUGUUAUUUCUGCUCAGUACUGGCACCUACCUUCAUCUGGUUCCACAUUCUUCCCUUCUUCAGGAAAAGCCAAAGAAGUCUGUUGCAGCUGUAGAAAUUCUUGCUGUAAGUGGAUUUUCUUUACUUCACAUACUACUUCAAUAUGUACUUUAUGAGAAAACUGAAGAAAGAUUGACAAAAUUGAUCUGAUCAAAAUUGAUAUGAUCUGAAACAUGAUCAGCAAAGGAAAUAUAUCCUGUUCCACUGACCCAUGUUUCAGCCACUUACUCUUAUUCUGAGGUUGAGACAAACUCAGAAAGUUACCUGUUUCUCUUUUGUGGAUUCUGGCCUUGAAUGGUUUUAUUCUUCACUACCUCAACAUGUUUCCAUGGCCUUCAACAGCCAAAACCCCACUGAUUAAUCUGCUGAAUAUCCUAAAUAUCCUUCAGCUGGCAUUGUAAAGCUGCUUCUGUAGAUACUAUGACUGUUUGAAAGGUCUGUUUUCUAAUGUGUGAUGCAAAUGCCUAA